rnacentral:lncRNA from 1 species
UAUUCCAGGUCAUGUCUGUACAUGCUAAGCUCGUCGAGUCAACCUAGGUGUUUCGCGUGUGUAAAUCUGGCUUACACCCGUUGUAUGCGAACGUUAGAAUCUAUCACACCCGAUCAUCACGCGGUGCUUCGAGACAACGAACCUUCGCAACGGUGCACACUUAGGGGAAUACGUUCUCGAAAUUUUAAGAGGGAUCAUCUUAUUAUGCUACCGUCGUUCUAAGCAAUAAGAUGUAAAACUUGAUAAACAUCACAAUGCAAUCAUAUAG